CCUGAACUGCUUCCAUUCCACGGACCCCAAGAGCACGAUCAGCUCAGUGAGGAGUUCCUGGACUAUCAACUGAUGGACAUCCCUAUGCCGCAAGACCCAGCCACGUUUGACACUGAGGCUUUCUGGGGGAAUAUGUCAUCACUGAAGAACAGGGUGACUGGUUUGAGCAGAUUUGGACGGCUGUCUGAGAUUGCCAAACUGGUGUUAGUGCUUCCACACUCCAAUGCAGAUGCGGAGAGAGUGUUCUCCAUGGUGGGGCUGAACAAAACCAAAACAAGGAACAGUUUGGCCCUGGAUGGAACGCUCUCAUCCAUCAUGACUGUGAAAAUGGCUGGCCUUGAGCCACAGUGCUUUAAAUGGGAGCCCCCUAGCUCUGUCAUCAAGGCAUCAAAAUCUGCUGCAAACACUUACAACACAAAACACCAUUCAUAAACUGAAAUCCACACACACACACACACACACACACAAAUGUUGAGCACUGCUGUUGUGAAAAGUGUCUUACUUAUUAUCCAUUUGUUGUUAGGUUUUUUUCUUAAAUGUAUUAAUAAAACAAUUUAUUUUA